UACAGAGGUCUCGAGCGUUUAGGCGGAAUCACUGGGCUUAAAGCGUGUGUAGGUGGAUGCCUAAGUACCUUGUGAAAUCCCACAGCUUAACUGUGGAACUGCUUGGUAUACUGGGUGUCUUGAGUCACUCAGGGGCGAGCGGAACAAAUGGUGGAGCGGUGAAAUGCGUAGAUAUCAUUUGGAACGCCAAUGGUGAAAACAGCUCGCU
rnacentral:rRNA from 1 species